rnacentral:tRNA from 1 species
GCGGGCGUAGCCAAGUGGUUAAGGCAGCGGAUUGUGGCUCCGCUAUUCGCGGGUUCGAUUCCCGUCGUUCGCC